rnacentral:rRNA from 1 species
UGCAAGUCGAGCGGAAAGGCCCCGCAAGGGGUACUCGAGCGGCGUAAGGGAGAGUAACGCGUGGUUUAUCUACCCUCAGGCCCGGGAUAGCUGCGGGAAACCGCAAUUAAUACCGGAUAACAUCUCCGGAUCAAAGGUGUGAUUCCGCCUGUGGAUGAGACCGCGUCCUAUUAGCUAGUUGGUAGGGUAAUGGCCUACCAAGGCGAUGAUGGGUACUGGGUGUGAGAGCAUGACCCAGCUCACUGGGACUGAGACACUGCCCAGACACCUACGGGUGGCUGCAGUCGAGGAUCUUCGGCAAUGGGCGCAAGCCUGACCGAGCGACGCCGCGUGUGGGAUGAAGGCCUUCGGGUUGUAAACCACUGUCAGAGGGGAUGAAAUGCAUGGGGGUUCUCCCCCAUGUUUGACAUAUCCUCAGAGGAAGGACGGGCUAAGUUCGUGCCAGCAGCCGCGGUAAGACGAACCGUCCAAACGUUAUUCGGAAUUACUGGGCUUAAAGGGUGCGUAGGCGGCGCGGUAAGUUGGGUGUGAAAUCCCUCGGCUCAACCGAGGAAUUGCGCUUGAUACUGCCGUGCUCGAGGGAGACAGAGGUGAGCGGAACUUAGGGUGGAGCGGUGAAAUGCGUUGAUAUCCUAAGGAACACCAGUGGCGAAAGCGGCUCACUGGGUCUCUUCUGACGCUGAGGCACGAAAGCUAGGGGAGCGAACGGGAUUAGAUACCCCGGUAGUCCUAGCUGUAAACGAUGAGCACUGGGGUUGGAGGGUCCUCCAUAGCCUUCCAGCCGCAGCG